AUUUAAAAAAAAAAAAACAAAGAUUAAUUUACGAAAAUAAAUAACAUUUUUUAAAAAUUAUAAAUUUGGAGUUAAAAUCAGAUAGCAAAUACGGUAAAAUCAUGGCAUUCAUAGAUCUUGGUGGUAUGAUAGCAAAUACGGUAAAAUCAUGGCAAUCAUAGAUCUUGGUGGUAUGAUAGCAAAUACGGUAAAAUCAUGGCAAUCAUAGAUCUUGGUGGUAUGGUAUGUUUCAUCAUUUAAUUAAAA